GAUGAACGCUGGCGGCGUGCCUAAUACAUGCAAGUCGAGCGAACAGACGAGGAGCUUGCUCCUCUGACGUUAGCGGCGGACGGGUGAGUAACACGUGGAUAACCUACCUCUAAGACUGGGAUAACUUCGGGAAACCAGAGCUAAUACCGGAGAAUAUAUUGAACCGCAUGGAUCAAUAGUGAAAGACGGUUUUGCUGUCACUUAUAGCUGGAUCCGCGUCGCAUUAGCUAGUUGGUAAGGUAACGGCUUACCAAGGCAACGAUGCGUAGCCGACCUGAGAGGGUGAUCGGCCACACUGGAACUGAGACACGGUCCAGACUCCUACGGGAGGCAGCAGUAGGGAAUAUUCGACAAUGGGCGAAAGCCUGACGGAGCAACGCCGCGUGAGUGAUGAAGGUCUUCGGAUCGUAAAGCUCUGUUAUUAGGAAAGAACAAAAGUGUGAGUAACUCUGCACGUCUUGACGGUACCUAAUCAGAAAGCCACGGCUAACUACGUG
rnacentral:rRNA from 1 species